rnacentral:lncRNA from 1 species
UUGGAAGUUUAUAAGAUGCUGUAUAAUACAUAAAAUGUUAGAAAAAUAAAUCAGAACUUCUUUCUCCUACAGGUUUGUUGGGAGAAUAACAUAAUUCAAAUUUGAAAGGAGAGAAGAAAGUUGUUGGAAGAAGAAAGGAUUUACCACGUGGGGAUAUCUAAAUCAUCUGUUGAGAAGAUCACAUCAGCCAAGAGGACUGUGCUGCUUGAAUUCUGGCUCAUUUGGCCU